AGAGUUUGAUCCUGGCUCAGAAUCAACGCUGGCGGCGCGCUUAACACAUGCAAGUCGCACGAGAAAGUGGAGCAAUCCAUGAGUACAGUGGCGUACGGGUGAGUAACACGUGGAUCAUCUACCUUUUAGUGGGGAAUACCCCCGGGAAACUGGGGAUAAUACCGCAUAAGCUCGUAAGAGGAAAGCAGCAAUGCGCUGAAAGAGGAGUCCGCGGCUGAUUAGCUAGUUGGUGAGGUAAUGGCCCACCAAGGCGAAGAUCGGUAGCCGGCCUGAGAGGGCACACGGCCACACUGGCACUGAAACACGGGCCAGACUCCUACGGGAAGCAGCAGUGGGGAAUCUUGCACAAUGGAGGAAACUCUGAUGCAGCGACGCCGCGUGAGCGAUGAAGCCCUUCGGGGUGUAAAGCUCUUUCGACGGGAACGAUAAUGACGGUACCCGAAGAAGAAGCUGCGGCUAACUACGUGCCAGCAGCCGCGGUAAUACGUAGGCAGCAAGCGUUGUUCGGAAUUACUGGGCGUAAAGAGUGUGUAGGCGGUGCUCUAAGUCUGUUGUGAAAUCUCCCGGCUUAACCGGGAGGGUGCGGCGGAAACUGGAGUGCUUGAGGGUGGGAGAGGUAAGCGGAAUUCCUGGUGUAGCGGUGAAAUGCGUAGAUAUCAGGAGGAACACCUGUGGUGUAGACAGCUUACUGGACCACUUCUGACGCUGAGACACGAAAGCGUGGGUAGCAAACAGGAUUAGAUACCCUAGUAGUCC
rnacentral:rRNA from 1 species